AUACUGCCGUGCUGAGGGAAAACGUCGUAUGAACAUUCGAGAGUUGCCAAAUUUCCUUCACUAAAAUGUUUAUUUUUAAGGAAAUUUAUGAAUACUUUCCCCUGAAAUUCUCAAGAAGGUUGGGUGGAAUUGCGAACGAAAUUAUCUGAGAAAUUGAAAGAAGAAUAUUCAUAAGUUUACCGAGAAAGUCGUGUUUUAUCCAAGGAAAGGCAACGCCUGAAGAUUCAUACGGCGUUUCCCUUACAUUAGCACGGGAGUCUAGGUGAGGCAGCUUCGAUUAAUAUCGAUUGUUUUACACGCAUUUAAAUAGACAAAAGCAGGGUUGCCAACUUUAUGAAUUGCCGGUGCCGAUCCCUGCAUCCGCGUCCUCCCUCGAUCAUUCGGAGCAGUAUCUUAUCUUAAGGACCGCCUUCCUAGUCUCGCCCUGUUGAAUCACGCUUCCCGGGCAAACUAUCUCAUGAUACGUUAAAGACCAUUACAACCAUCCAUAAGUGUAUCGCGGCACUCAUGAUCUUACAUGAAUUCUGUGUCAUCACUCAUCUAGUCUUGCAUCGAUUAUCGCGCGUGCGUGUUAGUGAAUUAAUCGAUUGCUGAGAGCUGCGGCACGAGCGUUCGACGAAGUGGACUGGAAAUCAGGUUCUGCUGGUGGAAAAAUGAUUGAGUAAUAAAAGGAAAGCAGAGAGUGGAAAGAAGAUACUGUCUAACGAGACCAUAGGUAUCUCGAAAAUGAAUAAGAAACUUCUAUCCACUUUUCGUGAAGCAUAACAUCUGUGCUGGUCCAAUGACCACUAAACAGAUACUCAUGAGGCAGAUGUCGCUGCAGGCGCGGCUGAAGCUACGCAAGAGCCAGCGGAUAUGGUUCUUCCUCCUGGCCGCGGGUACGUUGAUCAGCCUCUCCCUCCUGUUCGGCGCCCGGCGGCAUCGGACCCACCUUUCCCAGUUUCUAGCAGCCCCUUACAAGGGCCCACCCCCCGAUGACCUCUGGGCGAACAUCAACAACGAGACGGGAGCCGCCGAGCUCAUCGUCCCCAACAUCGUCCACUUCGUGCUCUUCGAGGACCCGAAGAUCAGCUUCAUCCACUUCGUCUGCAUUCUGGCGGCACUGCGAAACCAGCGGCCGGAGAAGAUCUACUUCCACGGGAACGUGGCGCCCUCUGGCGGCUACUGGGAGCGGCUCAUGAAAUUGAAGCCCUUCACCGAGCGCCUCGAGAUGCGGCGCGUGGAGCUGCCGACGGAGAUCUCCGGGGUGAAGAUCCAGCCCGGGUGGCGGAUUUUCCACGGAGGUGACGUCACCCGGAUCCGGGUGCUCAUGGAGUACGGAGGCAUCUUCCUCGACAGCGACUCGUACGUCGUCAGGAGUCUCGACUACUUCCGACGCUUCGAGAUGUCUAUCGGCUGGGAUGAAAAUCAGUUCCUCGGUUCUCAGAUCAUAGUAGCCCACAAGGACGCUCGUUUCCUGUACCACUGGCUGCACAGCUACGACGGUGCGUACGACCCGAAAAAGUGGUACUAUAACGCUGGCGAGCUGCCCACCACCUCGGUCCUCUACCACCAUCCGGAACUCGUUCACCGCGUCAAAGUCCUCUUCGGCAACGACCUGAAGUUCAUCCACAAUCUCUUCAGCAGGUACUGGCCGGGCUGGCGGGAGAACUACACCUUCCACCUCCUCGCCAGACACCAGUACAUGCUCAGAAACAUCUCUUCCGUCGCCACCUACCCCGUCGUCUUCGAUGAGUUCAACCUCCAGCAUUACCCCAUCACCUUCCGCGAGAUGGCCAACGAGGUUCUCGAUUACGAGAAGCAACUCUUGGGGAAACCUAUCAAGGGACCAGCAGGCUGAUUGUAAAAAUUGAUAGACAAGGCGAUAGAAUUGGUGGAAGCGGGUGGUUGCAAUGGACAAAGGACGUAGGUAAAAGACUAACUAACGGCAACCCACGAGAGACCCGAUAGUUAGUCCAUCAUUUACCCCCUUAGUCUAUAAAAACCACUUAUUUCAACCAAUAGGAUCGCCCUAUACUCCAUGUCUUCUUUGUCUAUAGCUUUGUCUAUAAAUUUCAAUAAUCGACCCGCAGCAGGGUUGAAAUUUAUAGACAAAGCUACAGACAAAGGGAGCAUGGAGCUAUCCUAUUGGUUGGAUGGGUGGUUCCUGUAGACUAAGGGAGAAAUUUGUAGACUCAUUAUCGAGUCUUCCGUGGGUUGUCUAUGUGUCUUGUGAGUUAGUCUAUUACCUACCGCCUUUAUCCAUCGCAACCACCCUUUUCCUCUGAUAGGAUCCCUUCAUAUCCCUGUUGUCUUCUUCGUCUAUCGCUUUGUCUACCAAUUUAAACAAUCAGUCCGCAGGUUGAGCUUUCACGUUUGGCUAAUUUGUGUUAAAAGCAGCUAUGAGCAAAUGUUCCUUUAAAACUAAGGGGUGCGCUCCCUGGCCGUUUCGCGGCCCAACCCUUAAGGAAGGCCGAUGGAGACUCACUCCCUCUAAGGCCCACUUGCCGUUUUUUAAUCUUAACAGGGCGGCUUCAUCAAGGGACUAUCUCCUAUCGACGGCUUGAAAAUUCAUGAGAGUCGGCCUGGUUGAUCUUUCGGACGAAUUAUGGCAAAACAAAAAAAUUUACAUCGUUUAAAUGGGAGUAUUCACAACUCCAUCACGUGAUAUAGAAGGACCUAGGUUCCAAAAUCUGAAUAAAGCCGACCUAGGGCUUGUUGACUGUUGAUACCUGGAAAAUCACGGAAAUCAAACUGUGGAACGGUAAAACGAACUGUGACAAAAGUUGGCCCAAAUGUGAUGAAAUUUAUUUAAAGGCAGACGUAGAACAAAGUCCGAUAGAGUAAGAUGGAAAUUUUGAAAAAAAAUUGGAUGUGGGAGGAACCCGAAAAAAUCUCGUUUACUCGAAAUCUGCGUGUCUCUAAGUGCCCUAUCACAUCAUCAGACCUAGUAAAAAAUGUAUGGUUGAUCUCAUUAGUUUUUUAAGAUGUACGUAUGAUGAGUUUACGUUUGUAAGUUGUUAUGUUUUAUGUUAAUUUUAAUAAAUUUAGCGUCUGGUUCAGUCGAUGCACAAAUAUCAUUUAGACGAUGGAGUUCAAAAAGAGUUCCUUAAAAUAAAAAUGAAGAAGUAGAAAAUAACCGAAUUCCUGUAAAUGACAACCAAUAACUUAUCAGAAAUCAAUUUGCAAGUCACCCUAAUGUUAUGUAUCAGUACAUGGUUGCUUCAAACCGAGUCUCCGUGCUCAUAAUGUUUCACUAAAGAAAGCUGUAUUGUAUCGCAACGUUUUGAAGGCGCUGGGGGCUAAAGCAAAUAAUUCAGGAUGAUACGAUGCCGAUUCUUACAGACAAAUAGCUAGAGCUACUACAAAAAACAAUAAUUAAAUACUCGUAAAUAACAUUUGUGCGAGUAUAAUUAUGUAGGAAAAUUUGAAAGAUAUGGACUGGUCAUAUUAGUAACAGAAUUAUUGAUUAUUGGAGUUACAAGGAUGCCCUCCGCCCUGCGCCUGCGUAUGGGUAUGCAAAUAUAUUUAAUGUCUGGUUCCGAGGUAUGAAAAAAUAGUUUUAAUGGACAGUUUAUUUUCAUAGAAUCGAAAUUGCAACGUCUCAUUAAUUUUUGCGGGUUUAAUUUUGAGACAGUUUAUCAUCAAAAUUCCUUUUAAAUUUUUCUUAUUUUGAGUCUGUGGAUGAAUAGGAAAAGACAGUAAUUUACUCCCUCGGAAACUAGAAUGGCUUAGACAUGUAGGUAGCAGAUUUUAACCAACUCCUCGUAGAUUUAGGUCGUGAUAGCAUUAAUGAAAUUUGGGCUCUGCGAGAGUCAGAAGAGUUCAGCAAUUGGCAUUGAAGAGUUUAGAAUAAAAAUUUGCUUACGAGAAAUUUGUUGAAAACAUUUUUGACGCGGAAUUUUUCUCUUGCGCCACUUACUGGCAUCAGCGGACGCAUAUAAGCCAUCCAGACAGAGCGCGUCCACUGAUAACAGUGAAUAGCACGAGUAAGAAAAAGAGGGGGGAAAGAAGAAAUUUAUUAAAAUAACUGUCAUGCACGCUGGGCUUGUCGAUUUCCUUUGACAUUUUUGCAGUGGUUAAUGCAUAGCUGAAAGGCGCUCCAGCUAGAAUUGUAUUUAGCAAAUGGGAGGUUUUUAUGCGAGGAUUAAAAAUAAAGAAGUGGUAAGGAAUAAAACAAAAGAAUAGGAACUAUGCAAAACGAUAAUCCGGGAAUCGGAACUUGGCUGUUUUGAAAACGCCUUCAAAUGAGGUGUGAUACCUCACGCAUUCCGGAGAGUUCAAAUAGUUGUAUCAUUGCGCCUUAGAAAUGCAACGGAAGAUUACAAUAAAAUAUUACAUUUACUAGAGUGUGUUCGGAAAGGAAAACGAGUCCUUUAAGAUCUGGUGCAGCUUUUAAUUACAGUAUACCAGUUAACUAGAAAGGUCUGAAAGAAGUGCAGAGAAAUCUCGCUAAAUCGAACUACGGUUAAGACGAAAUCUAGCUUAGGUCGAAAAUUCUUCCGAUCCAGACACCGCCGUAAGACGCAACGUAAAUAACUACGAUUUUCACGAAUGUGUGACUUUUGCCGCAGAGAAAGCUGCUUAAAUCAGAGAAAAAUGUUUGCAAACCCAACAAAAAUUAGAUUUUAAACGUAGAAAAUCAAGAGGAAAGGGCGGUUUUGAGCGAUUCUGUUAUAAACUUGGUUCAUUCAGAGUUAUCUGUGUGGAACGUCUCUACUUAUUUUUUGCUCAGGAAUCUAAGAAAGCUUAAACUUUGAAUAUAUUAAAAGCAGUGGUUAAAUAACAUUUUCCUUUGAUCGAAAUACAAUUUUUUUAGUCAAAUAAAUUUCGUUUAGGUACUUAAAAGAUAAUUUUCUUUAGAUUAAUUUUCUUUUAAAUUAAUCGUUUUUAAUUGAAAAAAAGUAUUUCAGACCAAAAAAAAAUUAUGACUCAAAAUUUUUUUCAUCCAACGAAAUGGUUUGUGAUCAUUUUUUUCGUGUACAUAAAAAUCAAAAUGCGACGAGGUGUUGAUGGACUCUGACGUGACAACGCCGAAAACAAGUACAUGUGAACCACGUGUAAUUACAAAAUGAGUGGACCCAAUUAUAGUAAUUUCCUCCCGGAAGCGAGAUAUGAAUAGUGCGUCCUGUUGUCCCGCAGUUGAGGAGUCAAGGUACUCGCAGGAAGAAUCAGAGUGCUCGGAGGAGAAUUCUUCUUAUCACGACUGGGUCUCGCCAUUCUGCAGGUAAGAGCACGAACAAAUAUGUACCCACAUUCCAUAUCGUGUGGUUGUAGCGUUCAUACUUUCCUCCAUAAAAUCAAAAUGUACGUCUUAAGUAAAGAGGUAAAAAUUUUCGGUCCUACGAUUAUUCAGACAUCGAAGGGGUCAAAGACUGAUUCCACGGGGGUAUAUUUUACAACCUAACCUUCAAACCUGUUGGGAGAGUGCGUCAACUUAGCUUUUAAGUAUUUUAGAAACUUUAUCUGCAAAAUCA
rnacentral:lncRNA from 1 species